CGGUGGAGCAUGUGGUUUAAUUCGAAGCAACGCGCAGAACCUUACCAACCCUUGACAUGCCUUGACCGCCACAGAGAUGUGGUUUUCCUUUCGGGGACAGGGACACGGGUGCUGCAUGGCUGUCGUCAGCUCGUGUCGUGAGAUGUUGGGUUAAGUCCCGCAACGAGCGCAACCCCCACUGUUAGUUGCCAGCAUUUAGUUGGGCACUCUAGCAGAACUGCCGGUGACAAGCCGGAGGAAGGCGGGGAUGACGUCAAGUCCUCAUGGGCUUACGGGCUUGGGCUACACACGUGCUACAAUAGUGGUGACAGUGGGCAGCGACCACGCGAGUGGAAGCGAGUCACUACAAAAGCCAUCUCAGUUCGGAUUGCACUCUGCAACUCGGGUGCAUGAAGUUGGAAUCGCUAGUAAUCGCGGAUCAGCACGCCGCGGUGAAUACGUUCCCGGGCCUUGUACACACCGCCCGUCACACCAUGGGAGUUGGCUUUACCUGAAGCCGGUGCGCUAACCGCAAGGAGGCAACCGACCACGGUACGGUCAGCGACUGGGGUGAAGUCGUAACAAGGUAACCGU
rnacentral:rRNA from 1 species